rnacentral:ncRNA from 2 species
AAAGUUGGUGGGAAAAGUUGGUCCUUCAUUUCCAUAAAUGGCAAAAACGUCCUUUUCACAAAUCAACUUUGUAUAGCCUUUGGGAACUAUUUAGUUGCUAGUCAAGGUCAUUAAUUGCUCACCAAGGGUCUCUAAGUAAUCUCCCAAGGCUGGUUGAUAAUUGGCACGCCGUUUGAGACUCGUUGAAGCGCAAUAUGAAUCUGCCUCGCUCUUGGAAAUGCUGAAAUUUAAUGUAGCUUCUUUCGGGGCGGCACACUACGCUCUGUAUACAUUAGCAUGGGAUAACAUUAUAGGAUUUUGGUCCUAUUACAUUGGCCUUUGGGAUCAGAGUAAUGAUUUACACGGGGGCAUUCGUAUUUCAUAGUCAGAGGUGAAAUUCUUGGAUUUAUGAAAGACAAACAACUGCGAAAACAUUUGCCAAUGAUGUUUUCAUUAAUCAAGAACGAAAAUUGAGGGUUCGAAGACGAUCAGAUACCAUCCUAGUCUCAACCAUAAACGAUGCCGACUAGGGAUCGACAGAUGUUGCUUUUAGGACUCCGUCGGCACCCUAAAAGGUCGUAGUCCCUCU